rnacentral:tRNA from 1 species
AGCCUCGUGGUGUAGAACACAUCAGAUUGCAAACCUGAAGAUGUAGGCUCACUGCCUGCCGGGGCUU